GACGAACGCUGGCGGCGUGCUUAACACAUGCAAGUCGAACGGAAAGGCCCUGCUUUUGUGGGGUGCUCGAGUGGCGAACGGGUGAGUAACCCGUGAGUAACCUGCCCUUGACUUUGGGAUAACUUCAGGCAACUGGGGCUAAUACCGGCUAGGAGCUCCUGCUGCAUGGUGGGGGUUGGAAAGUUUCGGCGGUUGGGGAUGGACUCGCGGCUUAUCAGCUUGUUGGUGGGGUAGUGGCUUACCAAGGCAUUGACGGGUAGCCGGCCUGAGAGGGUGACCGGGCACAUGGGGACUAAGGGACGGCGCAGACUCCUACGGGAGACAGCAGGGGGGAAUAUUGCACAGUGGGCGGAAGCCUGAUGCGGCAACGCCGCGUGCGGGAUGACGGCCUUCGGGGUGGAAACCGCAUUCGCCUGUGACGAAGCGGGAGUGACGGUAAUGGGUAAAGAAGCACCGGCUAACUACGUG
rnacentral:rRNA from 1 species